AGGGACUUUUGGGGGCAGGUAUGUUUCAGCUGCACAAUCAUAAUGCCCCUAAAAAUCCUUA
rnacentral:pre_miRNA from 1 species